AACGAACGCUGGCGGCAGGCCUAACACAUGCAAGUCGAGCGAGACCUUCGGGUCUAGCGGCGGCCGGGUGAGUAACGCGUGGGAACGUGCCCUUUUCUACGGAAUAGCCUCGGGAAACUGAGCGUAAUACCGUAUACGCCCUUUGGGGGAAAGAUUUAUCGGAGAAGGAUCGGCCCGCGUUGGAUUAGGUAGUUGGUGGGGUAAUGGCCUACCAAGCCUACGAUCCAUAGCUGGUUUGAGAGGAUGAUCAGCCACACUGGGACUGAGACACGGCCCAGACUCCUACGGGAGGCAGCAGUGGGGAAUCGUAGACAAUGGGGGCAACCCUGAUCUAGCCAUGCCGCGUGAGUGAUGAAGGCCUUAGGGUUGUAAAGCUCUUUCAGCUGGGAAGAUAAUGACGGUACCAGCAGAAGAAGCCCCGGCUAACUCCGUG
rnacentral:rRNA from 1 species